UGGGGAAUCUUCCGCAAUGGACGAAAGUCUGACGGAGCAACGCCGCGUGAGUGAAGACGGCCUUCGGGUUGUAAAGCUCUGUGAUCCGGGACGAAAGAGCCUGAGGUGAAUAGCCUAAGGAAGUGACGGUACCGGAAAAGCAAGCCACGGCUAACUACGUGCCAGCAGCCGCGGUAAUACGUAGGUGGCAAGCGUUGUCCGGAAUUAUUGGGCGUAAAGCGCGCGCAGGCGGCUUCCUAAGUCCAUCUUAAAAGUGCGGGGCUUAACCCCGUGAUGGGAUGGAAACUGGGAAGCUGGAGUAUCGGAGAGGAAAGUGGAAUUCCUAGUGUAGCGGUGAAAUGCGUAGAGAUUAGGAAGAACACCGGUGGCGAAGGCGACUUUCUGGACGAAAACUGACGCUGAGGCGCGAAAGCAUGGGGAGCAAACAGG
rnacentral:rRNA from 1 species